GCGGACGUGGCGAAAUCGGUAGACGCAGGGGACUUAAAAUCCCCCUCUUCUGGAGUGCGGGUUCGAGUCCCGCCGUCCGCACCA
rnacentral:tRNA from 3 species